CUUUCUCCAUGUCAGUAGUGAAACUCUCAGCCUGCACGUUCGUAUCCAGGGUGGCAGGGAAGGUGGAGAUGGGGAUGCACCAGCCCCCUUCACAGUCCUUCUUCACUGCAUUGGCUGGACAGGAGAGCAGUCGCAUCCCAGGGGACUGAUACAGGUAGGAAAUGGAAAAUUCAGAAUAAGAUUCUGAGGGAGCAUCUCAGGAAAGGCUUUGGGGCUCAGCAGCAGAAAAGCCACUUUUCCUCUCAGAGAAGCAAUUUUGGGAUCUUAACUCUGUUGUUGUUGUUGUUUUCCAUCUUUAAAAGGGAACUAUAUCAGUAUCCUUCUUAUAGGGUUACUGCGAUGGUAUAAAAUAUUGGGCAUAGUUCCUAAAACAUAGUAAGUGCUCCAAAUACUAUCACUAUUGGCCCUAGUUUCAGAAGAGGUACUCGUGGCCACAGUCUAAAGAAAUUAAAUCAGGCCAGAAGUCAAGGGAGAAGCAGAGGUGGCCUCCAUGCCCCAACUGGUCAAUCGUCUCCUUAUCUCCAUGAACUGUGGUGCUGGAGAAGACUCUUGAGAGUCCCUUGGACAGCAAGGAGGUCAAACAAGUUAAUCCUAAAGUAAAUCCACUCUGAAUGAAUAUUCAUUGGAAGGACUGAUGCUGAAGUUGAAGCUCCAAUACUUUGGCCAUCUGAUGCGAAGAGCUGACUCAUUGGAAAAAGACCCUAAUACUGGGAAAGAUUGAAGGCAGGAGAAGAAGGGGAUGACAGAGGAUGAGAUGGUUGGAUGGCAUCAUCGACUCAAUGGAUAUGAGUUUGAGCAAACUCUGCUGCUGCUGCUGCUGCUGCUGCUAAGUCGCUUCAGUCGUGUCCGACUCUGUGCUACCCCAUAGACGGCAGCCUACCAGGCUCCCCCGUCCCUGUGAUUCUCCAGGCAAGAGUACUGGAGUGGGGUGCCACUUCCUUCUCCAAUGCAUGAAAGUGAAAAGUCAAAGUGAAGUCGCUUAGUCAUGUCUGACCCUCAGCAACCCCGUGGGCUGCUGCCUUCCAGGCUCCUCUAUCCAUGGGCUUUUCCAGGCAAGAGUACUGGAGUGGGGUGCCAUUGCCUUCUCCAUGAGCAAACUCUGGGAGAUGGUAAAGGACAGGGAGCCUGGUGUACUGCAGUCCGUGGGGUCACAAAGAACUGGACAUGACUUAGUGACUGA
ensembl:lncRNA